GUUUUAUCAUCCAACGAAAAAUAAAAGUAUAGAGUCUUGAAGUUGAAAGUUGUUCUUCAUCUUCCUUUUCUUUUCCUCUAUAAAAUUUCCAAUUUGUUUUCUCGACAGGUGGCGGAGCACAUGUACAGACCGCCGGCGAGGGAUUCGGGGAAGAAGAGAAUGCCUGAAUCCCUUGGCGGAGCACACAACGGGGCCGGCCUCGGAUGCGACCUCUGCCGCGUCAUUCUACUCUUCGGGCUGAGCAUUGUGCGGGGAGAUUUUAGCAUGAAUGGUAGAUGGUGCUAUGUGCUGUUGUGGGUUGCGGAGAGAGGGAGGAAGGAGACGAGGUGGGACUUGUUGAAGAAGAGACUUGUGGUAGUCUGCCCGUCGGUUUCUCCAUCGUUGGUGCGUGAAAUCAAUAGCAGGGAUCAAGAGAUGGAUGCGGAGCAGAAACCGCAGGUCUUUCUGCUCAAGUUUUCCUGCUACGAUAGGAUGGGCCUUUUGCACGUUUGCAUCAAAGGGGCAAGGACUCGAUCGGAUCAGACUAGAUUUAGGCUCAAUCUAGGGCUAAUUGAAGAGAUCAAGCUCUAAAGUAAUAUGGACCAUUCAUUCAAGAUUUAGAGAGAUCUGAGCCAUCCGUCAAGGAUCUCAUCCAUCCAAGCCAAGGGGAAGUAGAUCACAGCCAUUAAUCAAGAUCCAGAGCUUUUGAUCCAGAUCUGAAUUGAACUGACAGUUGAUCAAGAUAUGAAGCAUUCUGGGCCAUCCAUUCAGAUCUGAGAUGAGUUCAAAUGAGAAGCUACAGAGUUGAUUCUUCAUUCGUCAAAUUCUACAAUGAUCGCAGGAAGCAGAGGGGGGUGAUCCUCUUCCUCGAUCCACCUUUCACUAUCGGCGAGCAAGUGAGGUCAAUGGCGACCCUUCCUCCGGCUGAAAUCCACCCAUCAGAAACCGGUGAUGCCACUUCAACCCUCUGAUUCAUCAGUAAUCUCCAACUCUGUUGUGAUUUUGGGUGAAGAAGAAGAACCUAAGAAGUGAAGCAAUCCAGUGGUUUGAGCUGAUUUUCUCCCUUUCCAGCCGGCGAUCUUCCUUCCUUGAAGCUCUACGACCAUCUGAAUGGACAGGAGAGUUUGCUCUGCUCCAUUCCUAUGAUUUCUAUUCCAUCAUCGCUAGCUGCAUUUACCAAAUCAAGAGUGCAUCUGAUUGGAUUGGUUCUUCGCCGAUUGUAAGAUUUUGACAUCUUUGUCAAUAUCAGUGAGUGCUUGGGGAUUCCCAGCUCACCUUGGUUCAUCAUUUUCCUCCUCUUAUUUUUGCAUCUCCAUUCUUGCAAUUUCUAGCUAAGUUUCUAUUUCCUUUACUGUUUAGUUUUAUAGACUUGAAUUAGUUUAGUUAUAUAUAGUUUUAUAUCUGUUUUCUUGUCUGUGGCUCAUCUGAAUGCUUGUUAGCUCCACUGAUGGAGAUCUAGAUCUGAAUUUGUAGUUCAUGUUCUAAUAGAUUUAAUUGCAGCAACUUGGUUGAUUUAAUUCUUUAAUGCAUUUGAAUUUGAAUCUGAUUGAGGUCGAUUUAGUUUGUUGUUCUCUUGUUUGUGCCCUUUUACAUUUGAAUUCUUACUUACUUAGUUAAUUGUAGUGGCUUAAUGAUAAUCCUUAUUUAGAUUAGAUUUGUAUCCUCAUUAGUUAAGGUUAGAUUAGAUCAUUUGUCUUCUUUGAUUUCUAUGAUUUGGAUUGCAAUUGCAGUGUAGGUUGUUUGAAUCCUUGUUAAUUGCAUGUCUUUAGUUUCCUUUCUCAGUUAUAACUCAUUAUAUAAUAAACCCAUUAGAAUCUCAAAAUGCAAACCCCAUUCAUAAAUAAAUUGAUCUUAGGUUUAUCAUGCAUCAACUACAUUCGUUGGGAGACAACCCGAGUCAUCUCUAUGCUACAUUAGUGUAGAAUGAAUUUGGUCACUUAAUUUUUUUGAUACCCAUUUCACGACAAAAUUAGGGUUUAUCAAAAUUAGUGUCGUUGCUGGGGAAUGUAGCGGUAUUUGAUACCUUAGGAUUGUUUUUCUCUUAUUACAUAAAAAUUUGAAAUAGAUUGUUGUCAAAUGCUUUAAUGUUCAUACAUCCAUGUGUUUGAUCUUAUAUGUUCCCGUGUCUUCUGAUCUUAUUUACUAAGUGUUUCAGUGUAAGAACAAGAAAUUUCUUUGACCAUGGAUCCAUAUUAUCAACAUUUUGGAAGUGGGAUGGAGAGUCAGUACUAUCAGCCUAAUCGACCUCAAUACUAUCAUCCUGAGCCUCAGUAUUAUCACCCUCAGACUCAGUAUUAUCAACCUGAACCUCAAUAUUAUCCACCAUAGAGUAGCCCAAUAGGUAUGGUUUAUUUCCAAAUUCAAAUAAUUCUAAUUGGGUGGAUCAAUCACAUUUCAGGUAUGAGGAUACACAAUGACAAUUUCCUGAGCCAUAUCCAACAUAUCAGAGCCCACAAGGAUUUCAUGAUAAGUAUAAGCCUACUUGGCCACAUACAAUCCAGCAGGGUGAUCUAGCUCCCUAGGGUACAUUUCAAGAUGAAGUUCAUGCCCCUAGUUCAACACAGGACCUUCGGGAGAUUAUCCAGCUAAUGAUAGAGCAUCAAAAGCAACAAUUUACUCCAAAACAAGCACAAUUUGUAAAUACAAAUAGACCAAUUUGCAUCAUCUGUUAGCCAGCAACAAGCACCAUGCUUCAAUGAGAAGAGGGAUUGUAGUGUUUUUGACAGACUUGAUCUUAUCUCCAUUACUCCACAAGACUCCUCUAGUAUUUCUUAUUGUGAUGCUAUAAUUGUAAGAAUUUCUGACUCUGUUGAUACUGUUGUUGUAGAUGUUGUUGAUGAUGUAAGUACCGAUGUUGAUGAUGAGGAGAGUGUAGGGGAUUACAUAGUAGAAGCAAUACCCCAAGAAUCACUUAUUCCAGUUGCAUAAUCACCUGAACUAGGUAUUGAUGAUGUGUGUAGGGGAUUGUACAUUGGAAGUAAUACCCCAUGAACCACCUGAACCAGAGCUUGAGCUAUUAUUUGAUGAGGAGGAGGUCACAUUCACCAUUCCAGAACCUCCAUGUACCUUUCAAUAUGACAAGGAGACUAUAAACUUCCGGAGUGGAUGCUUAAACUAAACCGCCUUCAACCUCUGGGAAGAACUUUUAAACAAAAUAGGGUGAAGGGAGCGGUCUUUAAUUCAAAUGCAAUCAUUCCACUCCCAACUUGGAUUUUGCUUCUUAACUGACUCCAACCACCGGGAAGGUUCAUUCCAAUACCGGCGUGGAUGCCACUUCUAAAUCGUUUGUAACCGCCCAAAAUAAAGGGGAGUUCAUUCUUUGUUUUUCUUUUUUGCUUUAUACUUUUCUUUAGUUUCAUACUUUACAUUUACAUUUUGCUUCCAUAUUUUGCACUUUGUUUAGUCUACAUAGCAUUUCAUUUUGAAUAAAAUUCUCUAUGAAAUUGUUCUAGUAAUAGUUUUAAGAUGGUAAAAGUUUUUUAAGUUUGAACGUCAAUUUUUAGGUCAUUUUACAUGAUUUAAUACUUUACUCGCAUGCUAUUGGUUAAUGUGGUGAUGGAUUCUAUUUUGAUUAAUUGAGGGAGGGGGGGGGAGUUUGCAAUUGAUUCUGAAAGGUAAUGUAGGUCACUAUUGUGAGGGAUUCUAAACCAGAGUUGCUGAAUUAUGUCAAACUUGUUUUGUUUGUUGAAUGCUAUAUAACUUUAGUGACUCUAAUUGAAUGCUCUACCAUGUGUUGAGUUCCGAAUCGGUUUGAUAGAGGCACUAUACAGCAACAUUGAGAUUCUACACUAUUUCAUUUCUUAAGAAGUUGGAAUUUGAACUGGUAUUCUGUCCUAAAACUCUAUUGAGUUUGAGUCCUAGUUUUGAUUUCCUAAAUGGCAUACAACUGAUGAAACUAAACUGAUUUCUGGAAAGAAAAAAAUGACAGAAAAUUGAACAUGUUAUGGAAUUUCUGUGAUUGCCAGAAUUAACAGAUGGCUUAAUCAGUAAAGUGUCCAAGCCUAUCUCUUUGAGCCCGAUUUCUAAAAUUGGUCAAAAUAAACAAGAGAUGCAACUAAAUUCUAGAUUGCUAUAGGAAUCUUGAGUGCUAGCCUCGAAGAUAAGAAUGUACAUUGAAAGUUAGACAAGAAAUCAGGACUGUUUUAUGCUAGCUAAUCUUGUUUUUUUUUUACCAGAAACAAAUUGAAUUCAAGCCUCUAUUGGUUCAGUGCUUAAUAAUGUUUUCUUCCAAACUUAACCCUUCUUGAGAUAGGCUAAGAUGUCAUUAAAUUUUGAAGUAUGAAACUUAAGUCUGGAAAAGGCUGGAAUUUCCAAAAAUGAGCUAAUUUCUGAAAUUGAAGUACAACAGUAGCAUGUAUUUGAAAUUAUAAACAUUUGUAUCAGAAUAACAACAGAGGGAUCUCCAAGCAUUGUAAGAAGUUGAGACUUAAUUGAACUGAGGUCAUAAACCUGUUUCCUGAAUGUCACAACUGAAUUGAAAUUCAGAAGCAAGAUUUCAGAAAUCCUGGUUCCCUGUUUCAGCAACUCAGAAAUCAUAUUCUAAUUCAGUUUGUAAUCACUGAUUAGGGACAACCUUAUGAGAAAUUCAUACCACUACAGAAAAACUUGAUUGGUACCAAUUUCAUAUGUUGAUUCUGAAGAACAACACCUAACUUAUUCCAAGAUGAAUGUUCUCUGCUAAGGAAGAAAGAAAAACAGGAAAUCGAAACAAAGAAAAAUCUGGAGUUUUCUGGUAUCUGAAUAAAAAAAACUGUCAUGUUGAAUCUGAUUUGAUUCUCUAAAUCUAAAUCCGAAAUGGAGAAAUUCUUUGAGAUUGAAUUUGAACCUGAUCUCCGGGAAACUGAACUUCUAUGAGUAUGAUUACGUCGUCCAAAUUUCUGAAACUUGUGAAGACAUAAUUCAUUGGGUUUUGCUGAAUUUGUUUUCUUAAGUUCAAAUAUGCAGGAAUUUCUCAAGCUUGAGUCUGAAUCAGAAUUUUGAACUGGAUUCUUAAAUCUAGAAAUUAUGAAUGGGGUUUUGAAUUCUGAAUUUGUAUGAUUUAAUUGGAACAAGUGUGGUUGAUUCAUAUGGUGUCGUAUUGGGAAUAUGUCUACAAGCUAGUGUAGGGGUUCUCUGAUGGAGCUGUGGCAUUGAAAUUGCAGGAAAUACAAAAUUUGUAUAACACAACUUAAACCUUGAUUCUUCUGGAAUUUAAGCUUGAAAAGAAAUGCUAAAUCAGAUUCCUAAAACCAUGGUUAGUGCAAUACUUAUUCUCAGAUAAUAUAGCUAGUAAAAUGAUAUGGAAACAGAAGUAUAACAGUGAGGUUUUGAAGCUGAAUUAUGAAUCAGGAAAAAAACCUGUAGAAACUGCAACUCAUUUAUAGCAAAGAUCAUUUCUAAAAUUGAAGUAUCAACUUGGUCUAUUGUGUGCCAAUUUCUAUGACAUUACUGAAGGAAUACCAAGUUGUUUUCAAUUAUAAAAAAAAUCCAAGGCGGAGGGUAAAUGUUGCUGCCAGUUUUCGAUUUUGUUGCUGGAAAUGAAUUAUAUUGAAUCUGUUAUGAGCAAGUUCUCUUUUCAAGUUCCUAAUAAGUGAGAAGCCACAUGAAGUUGUUGGUCUUAUAUUGUCAUUUGAUGCACUUCUCUUCCCAAAUCCUUUAGGGUUUAGUACUUGCAGAUCCAGGAAGCUAAUUUCUGCAUUUGAUGAGAAGUUGAGUUAUGAGUUGGAUAAAAUGCAGUGUUCUAAGUCUUUAUUUCAGAGAGUGGCUCUACUUCUGAAUUCCUUUUGGCAUGUUUUUUGAAUUUUUGGAAUGCAAAGAUUGAUCUCAUCUUAAGGGUGUUCUUGAAUACAAGAACUAGGAAACCACAACAAUCAUUUUGGAAGUUGCGUGGUUCAUGAGAAAAAAAUUGGUUCUAUAGUGACAAAUAAAGAGUAUCAAGUUGACAAGACAUUGUAUCAAGAUUUUUGGAUAACUAUCCAAUUGAAGAAGAGUUUGGAUUAAUCUUUUGUUUACUCAUUGAAAAAUAGUAUUCAUCUCUUUUCACAUUAGUUGGUCAACUCAUCAAGUUUAUUCCUCCAAUACUCUUAAUUCUUCAUUGAUUCCUUUUCUUUUUCCUAUUACAUUCAUUUUUAUUGAUUCCAUUGAAAUUUUCAAUAAAUCCUUUUGAUUCAUGUGUGCUAUAUUUUAUGGUGGUGGAGAAUUAGAAAAUAUGCAAGCAUAUGGUAAUGAAGUGUUGUGAGUGACAUUGAGUGAGCUCCACUUAUAUAUGUUUGAGUGUGAGAGUUAGAAUAGGUGAAUACCUUGUGAGAUUGCAUCUUGCUUAAUUCUUCAAUUGGAUUGAAAUCGCCAUAUUUAUUGAUUAUUGUAGGGAUUGUAUUCAUGAUUGUUUUGAUCUUUAGAUGGUCUUAGUUAAAUUUCUUUUAUGAUCUUCUAGGUAUUGCUAGGGAAUUAUUGUGGAGAUGAAUAUUAGUAGUUUCUUCUAUUUUGUUUGCUUGUCAGAGACGUGCAAGAAUAAGUGUGAGGGAAUUUGAUAACCAUCAUUUUGUCAUGAUAUUUUGAUUCAUAUAAGCAUAUCAUUUGAUCUUUUCAUGUAUUAAUUAUAUGUUUAUAUCACAUUUCAUGAGAUGUAUUCAUUUGUAAACUUAAUUGUAAAUUAUCUUAUAUUCACAGUAUUUGAUGCUAAUAUUUGGAUAUAUUCUUAGUUUGCAUCAAAGGGGCAAGGACUCGAUCGGAUCAAACCAUAUUUGGAUUCAAAUCUAGAGCUAAUUGAAGAGAUCAAGCUCUAAAGUAAUAUGGACCAUUCAUUCAAGAUUUAGAGAGAGUUGAGCCAUCCGUCAAGGAUAUGGUCCAUCCAAGCCAAGGGAAAAUAGAUCAUAGACAUCGAUCAAGAUCCAGAGCUUUUGAUCCAGAUCUGAAUUGAUCCGACUGUUGAUCAAGAUCUAAAGCAUUCUGGAUCGUCCAUUCAGAUAUGAGAUGAGUUCAAAUGAGAAGCUACAGUCUUGAUUCUUCGUUCGUCAAAUUCUACAGCGAUUGCGCAAAUCAGAGGUGGGCGAUCCUCUUCCUCGAUCCACCUUUCACCGUCGACGAGCAAGCGAGGUCAAGGGCGGCCCUUCCUACGGCUGAAAUCCACCCAUCUGAAAUCAGUGACACCACUUCAGCCCUUUGAUUCAUCACUGAUCUCCAACUCUAUUGCGAUUUUGUGCAAAGAAGAAGAAGCUGAGAAGUGGAGCAAUCCGGUGGUUUAAGCUGAUUUUCUCCCUUUCCAGCUGGCGAUCUUCCUUCCUCGAAGCUCUACGACAUCUGAAUGGACAGGAGAGUUUGCUCUGCUCCAUUCCUCUGAUUUCUAUUCCAUCAUCGCUAGCCGCAUCUACCAAAUCUAGAGUGCAUCUGAUUAGAUCGGUUCUUCGUCGAUUGUAAGAUUUUGACAUCUUUGUCAAUAUCAGUGAGUGCUUGGGGAUUCCCAGCUCACCUUGGUUCAUCA